GUUUGACCAGGCAUGAGCAAGGUGGGCAAGGUUUCCGUCCUGCAAAGCAGUUCAGCGUGGGCGCUGGAUGUGGAAUAAAGAGUCGCCACCCGAUGCAGGUGCAAUGGGGGAACGCCCUUCGCUCUGGAAUUGCUGCUGAUGAUUCACUCUCGAGAACCUGGCAAGUGGAGCAGAUCAGCCCUGAGCUAACAUCUGCUGCCAAUCCUCCACUUUUUGCUGAGGAAGACUGGCCCUGAGCUAACAUCCGUGCCCAUCUUCCUCUACUUUAUAUGUGGGACGCCUGCCACAGCAUGGCUUGAUGAGCGGUGCCAUGUCCGCACCCAGGAUCCAAACUAGCGGACCCCGGGCCAUUGAAGAGGAAUGUGCGGACUUAACUGCUGUGGCACCGGGCCUGGACUGCUUUCAAACUUUUUUGGACUCUCACCCACUUUAAGAAAUACACCAGGCACCAGAACACCCAUAUAUACCAAAAAAAGAAGUUUCAAAAAAAAAACCC
rnacentral:lncRNA from 1 species